GGUUAAGCUACUAAGGGCACGUGGUGGAUGCCUUGGCAGAGACAGCCGACGAAGGACGCGGCCAGCAGCGAAAUGCCUCGGGGAGCUGCAAGCAAGCUUUGAUCCGGGGAUCUCCGAAUCGGGAAACCGAGCGGGAGUCAUGUCCCGCCACCGCCGGGCCAAUACAUAACCCGGCGGAGGGUACCCGGGGAACUGAAACAUCUCAGUACCCGGAGGAAGAGAAAGCAACAGCGAUUCCCUGAGUAGUGGCGAACGAAAGGGGAACAGCCUAAACUCGCGCCGUGUCAAGGCCCCAGCCGUUGCGGCGCGGGGGUCGUGGGGCAAGACUGGGCGAACCUGGGGGUUCGCCGGGGAGUUACAAAUCGUGUCGUUAGCCGAAUUGGCCUGGAACGGUCAGCCAAAGACGGUGAGAGUCCGGUAGGCAAAAACGGCACGACUCCCUGAGUCCUGUUCCCAAGUACCACGGGGCACGAGGAAUCCUGUGGGAAUCUGGGAGGACCAUCUCCUAAGGCUAAAUACUGUCUCUGACCGAUAGUGAACUAGUACCGUGAGGGAAAGGUGAAAAGAACCCCGCGAGGGGAGUGAAAUAGAACCUGAAACUGCGUGCCUACAAACGGUCGGAGCCCGAUGUCAUGGACUUCGGUUCAUGACCGGGUGACGGCGUGCUUCUUGCAUAAUGAGCCGGGGAGUUGACCUCAGUGGCAAGGUUAAGGGCCUCUGGUCCGGAGCCGAAGGGAAACCGAGUCCGAAUAGGGCGAAUGAGUCGCUGGGGACAGACCCGAAACCAGGUGAGCUACCCAUGGCCAGGGUGAAGCGAGGCUAACCCCUCGUGGAAGCCCGAACCAGUGUCAGUUGAAAAUGGCUUGGAUGAGCUGUGGGUCGGUGUGAAACGCUAAUCGGACCUGGAGAUAGCUGGUUCUCCCCGAAAUAGCUUUAGGGCUAGCCUCGGGUGGUGACUCGCGGAGGUAGAGCACUGAAUGGGCUAGGGGCGUUCAUAGCGCUACCAAACCCAAUCAAACUCCGAAUGCCGCGAGAUUCAAACCCGGGAGUCGGACUGUGGGGGAUAAGCUCCAUAGUCGAGAGGGAAACAGCCCAGACCGCCGGCUAAGGUCCCUAAAUCAGGCUAAGUGGUAAAGGAAGUGACUUCGCCCAAACAGCCAGGAGGUUGGCUUAGAAGCAGCCAUCCUUUAAACAACGAGUAACAUCGGACUGGUCGAGUGGAGUUGCGCCGAAGAUGUAACGGGGCUCAAGCCUGAUACCGAAGCCGCGGAUGUCUGAGUUUCUUCGGAGGCUCGGGCGUGGUAGGGGAGCGUUCGGCCAGGAGUGAAGCGGUACCGAAAGGAGCCGUGGACCGGGCCGAAGUGCGAAUCCCGGCAUCAGUAGCGAAAAAGAGAGUGAGAAUCUCUCUCGCCGAAAGCCUAAGGUUUCCCAGGCAAGGUUCGUCCUCCUGGGUUUAGCCGGGCCUAAGCCGAGGCCGAAAGGCGUAGGCGAUGGACAGCCGGUCGACAUUCCGGCGCCACUGUGAGACGAUAAAGACGCGAUGAGGGGACGUCGCUGGGUGUGUCAGCGCGCGAUUGGAUUGGCGCGUUCUGGGCCGAGGUAGUCCGGCAGGCAAAUCCGCCGGAACAUCUGCCAGAGUCUGGAGGAGGAAAGGCUUCGGCUGGACUGAACUGACGUAACCAGCGGCCAGGAAAAGCCUCUAGCGAGUCUCACAGUGCCCGUACCGUAAACCGACACAGGUAGGCGGGCAGAAAAUGCCAAGGCGCGCGAGAGAACCCUCGCUAAGGAACUCGGCAAUCUCGCUCCGUAACUUCGGGAGAAGGAGCGCCUCCUGGUCCGAAUGGACGCAGCUUGCUGUGCUCCCUUCGGGCUGCCGGAGGCCGCAGUGAAAAGGCCCAGGCGACUGUUUACCAAAAACACAGGUCUCUGCUAAGCCGUAAGGCGAAGUAUAGGGGCUGACGCCUGCCCAAUGCCAGAAGGUUAAGGGGAGAGGUCAGCUCACCGCAAGGUGAGCGAAGCUUUGAUCCGAAGCCCUGGUGAAUGGCGGCCCUAACUCUAAGGGUCCAAAGGUAGCGAAAUUCCUAGUCGGGUAAGUUCCGACCUGCACGAAAGGCGUAACGAUCUGGGCGCUGUCUCAGCGAGGGACUCGGCGAAGUUGUAGUGCCAGUGAAGAUGCUGGCUACCCGCGACAGGACGGAAAGACCCCGUGGAGCUUUACUAUAGCCUGGUAUUGAAUUUUGGGGUCUCGUGCAGAGGAUAGGUGGGAGCCUGUGAAACCGCGGCUCUGGCUGCGGUGGAGGCGACCUUGGAAUACCACCCUCGAUACCUCGGGAUUCUAACCGUAGCCCUUAUCGGGUGGCGGGACAGUAUCAGGUGGGUAGUUUGACUGGGGCGGUCACCUCCGAAAAGGUAACGGAGGUGUUCAAAGGUUCCCUCAGUGCGGUUGGAAAUCGCACGGCGAGUGUAAGGGCACAAGGGAGCUUGACUGCGAGAGCUACUGCUCGAGCAGAGACGAAAGUCGGACCUAGUGACCCGGCAGUUCGGGAUGGAACGGCUGUCGAUCAACGGACAAAAGCUACCCCGGGGAUAACAGGCUUAUAGCCCCCGCGCGCUCACAGCUACGGGGCUGUUUGGCACCUCGAUGUCGGCUCGUCGCAUCCUGGGGCUGGAUAAGGUCCCAAGGGUUGGACUGUUCGUCCAUUAAAGCGGUACGCGAGCUGGGUUCAGAACGUCGUAAGACAGUUCGGUCCCUAUCCGUCGCGGGCGUAAGAGGUCUGAGGAGAGCUGCCGCCAGUAUGAGAAGACCGCGGUGGACGGACCUAGGGUGUACCAGUUGUCCCGCCAGGGGCAUAUGCUGGGUAGCCAUGUCCGGACGAGAUAAGCGCUGAAAGCAUCUAAGCGCGAAGCUCACUCCAAGACGAGACCUCUCACCGGGUUAACCGGGUAAGGCCGCAGGAAGACCACCUGCUUGAUAGGCCGGAGGUGUAAGCACGGCAACGUGUUGAGCUGACCGGUACUAAUAGGCCGAGGGCUUAACCCU
rfam:Chloroflexi bacterium RBG_19FT_COMBO_62_14 rbg_19ft_combo_scaffold_42243, whole genome shotgun sequence.